GUAACUUGUAUGUGUUGCUUUUGUUGCUUCAGUCUUCAGUUUACCAGGAGAUACUUGUGGUCAAUGUACCAGGUUGCUUGUUUCUACCGGGAUAAGUGCGAGGCAUACAUUCCUGCCGGUGUUGGCGGCUCGAUCAGGUCGGGGGGCAUCGGUCGUCGAGGCCGAGAAGACCGGGCUGUCGUAGGAUAGCUUCAAGACAACCAUUGUCAAACGCGACGAC